rnacentral:lncRNA from 1 species
GCCUGCUGGUCUGCUGGCGGGCAGGCGGCGCUGGGCCGGAGCCUCUCCCUCCGGUGCGCACAGCGCACCCUCUCCUCCCCCGGCCGCCCGUCGCAGCGCGGAGAGGGCGUGUCGGCACCCUGCCUGGCGAGCGCCCACCCCUACAAUGGCUGCGAGCGCGCGGGACGGAGGGUGCACCGCCGCUCCCCGGGGACUUGCACGGGUGGCGCGCCUAGCCCAGAGCCCGCUUGUAGUGAGCGCUCAGUAGGGCGGGAAAGCUGCUGCCGCUACUGCGGCCUUCUGAGAAGACGCCCAUUCUCUGAUGUCAGGACUGCAUCGCCGAGUCCUGAUUGCAAAUAGCGAAAUAUAUAAUUAAGGAGAGUUCGGGGGCGUAUCCUGCAAUGGGAUGCCGAGUUCGAUAAAGUUGCAGGAUGCUGGGAAAGUGGAUUGAUUUGCUGUUGCUAAAUGAAUGGAAACAGCGUUAGAGCUUCUGUCCACGAUCCAUCAGUCUAUCGAGAUUGCUGAUUGCCUAUGACUUGGACGGUUGAUGGUUUUCAGGCCCACUGAGAGCAGCCAGCGUUGGUAUAACCGCAGGGAGCCCUCCUGGGAGGUUGAACCUGCAGAGCGCAAAUGUGCCCAGGUUGAUUUGGGGCCUAGUGGUCCAUUUUCACAGCUCCACUGCCUAUCUGCAUAACCAGGAGCCCUCAUUCAGAUGAACGCCAAAUGGGCCAGAGGGAGGAGAAUCAAAUGAGCAACUUUUAAAAGAUAUUAAGACAUAGGCACCUAACUCCGGACAGUUCCUUUAACCCUUGAGCUAACCAUUUGAAGCACAAAACAUAACAAAAGAAAAGACUGGGGGGAGUGGGGCCAAAAGAAACCAAGUGCAAAAUUCUGUACACUUGUGUCAGAUUCACUCCGUAAUGGGAAAAGGUCUGGCUUUGAAAACUUUAUGGAUCAAAGGGAUGCAUGGAGUUACACAGCACAGCUGCAGAAGAUAAUGUUCCCCUGGAUCACUCUGCCCAACUCUUAACUGCAACCCACCUUCCCCAUCCGUCUCCCCGAAAUCACCCGGAAGGGUGUUACCUUCAGGAAGUAACUGAUCUCUUGAUCACCCCUGCUGGAUCCUGUCCCCAAGGGCGUUCGAAUGCAUCCGACUCAUCUUCACCUUGCCAAUAACGGGUGCUUGACACAUCGUUUGCUGCCAAUCAUUAUUGUGAUUUUAAUACUAUUGGUAUUCUAACUAUCAAGAUGACUGCUUGUAGAGCCAGAUUGCCUGGAUUCAAACUCCAGUUCACAACCUACUAACUGUAUGCCUUUAGGUAAACUCAGAUGCCUCUGAUGGAUUCGAAAUAACCAGAUAUAUUUCUGAAUUGCUUCAUAUGGCAGGAAGAUGCUGUGAUGCACA